GGAAGACUCCUAGGGGCUUCGAUCCGUUGUAUGCUGACCCUGAGUCCUCCUCUGUGGUUGGAGCUGUGGCAUGCCUACUGGGAAUACUCCUCCUUGCUGGGAGCUAUGGCAUGCUCAUCUGGAUGUCUCCUCUGGGCUGCGAGCUGUGGCACUGACCCCGAGGCCUCUUCCGUGGUUGGAGCUGUUGUACGCACAUUGGAAUACUGCUGGCUGAGAGCUGUGGCAUGUUGAUCUGGAUGUAUCCUCUGGUCUACGAGCCUUGGCACACUGAUCCCGAAGUCUACUCUCUUGUUGAAUCUGUGGCACACAAAUUGGAAUAAUCCUGCUGGCUGAGAGCUGUGACACGCUGACUUGGAAGACUGUUCUGGUCUUCGAGCUGUGGCACACCAACCCUGAGGCCUCCUCUGCAGUUGGAGCUGUGGCACACAGAUUGGAAUACUGCUGACUGGGAGCUGUGGCACGCUGACAUGGAUGUCUCCUCUGGGCUGCGAGCCCUGGCACACUGAUCCCGAGUUCCCAUCUGUGGUUGGAUCUAUUGCACGCAGAUUGGAAUACUGCUGGCUGAGAGCUGUGACACGCUGACCUCGAUGUCUCCUCUGGGCGGUGAGCCAUGGCACGCUGACCCCGAGGUCUACUCUCUGGUUGCAUCUGUGGCACACAUUGGAAUAAUCCCGCUGGCUGAGAGCUGUGGCACCCUGACCUGGAAGGCUCGUCGGGGCUUCGAUCUGUUGCACGCUGACCCCGAGUUCUCCUCUGUGGUUGGAUCUGUUGCACGCAGGUUGGAAUACUGAUGGCUGGGAGCUGUGGCAUGCUGAUCUGGAUGUAUCCUCUGGUCUGCGAGCCUUGGCACACUGAUCCCGAGGUCUACUCUCUGGUUGCAUGUGUGGCACACAAAUUGGAAUAAUCCUGCUGGCUGAGAGCUGUGGCACACUGACUUGGAAGACACCUCUACUCUUCUAGCUGUGGCACACCAACCCUGAGGCCUCCUCUGUGGUUGGAGCUGUGGCACGCUUACUUGGAAUACUUCUCCUGGCUUGGAACUAUGGCAUGCACACCUUGAUAUCUCCUCUGGUCUGCGAGCCGUGGCACGCUGACCCUGAGGGCUAAUCUGUGGUUUCAUUUUGGGCACGCAAACUGGAAUAAUCCUGCUGGCUGAGAGCUGUGGCACCCUGGCCUGGAAGACUCCUCGGGGCUUCAAUCUGUUGCACGCUGACCCUGAGGCCUCCUCUGCAGUUGGAGCUGUGGCACGCCUACUGGCAAUACUCCUCCUGGCUUGGAACUAUGGCAAGCUGAACUGGAUGUAUCCUCUGCGCUCUGAGCCAUUGCACGCUGACCCCGAGGUCUCCUCUGUCGUUGGAUCUGUUGCACGAAGGUUGGAAUACUGCUGGCUGAGAGCUGUGGCACGCUAACCUGGAUGUAUCCUCUGGUCUGCGAGCCUUGGCACCCUGAUCCUUAGGUCUAAUCUCUGUUUGCAUGUGUGGCACACAAAUUGGAAUAAUCCUUCUGGUUGAGAGCUGUGGCACCCUGACCUGGAAGACUCCUUGGGGCUUCGAUCUAUUGCACGCUGACCCUGAGGCCUCUUCUGUGGUUGGAGCUGUUUCACGCCUACUGGGAAUACUCCUCCUGGCUUGGAACUCUGGCAUGCACACCUUGAUGUCUCCUCUGGGCUGCGAGCCAUGGCACACUGAUCCCGAGGUCUACUCUCUGGUUGCAUCCGUGGCACACAAAUUGGAAUAAUCCUGCUGGCUGAGAGCUGUGGCACGCUGACCUGGAUGUAUCCUCUGGUCUGCGAGCCUUGGCACCCUGAUCCUUAGGUCUAAUCUCUGGUUGCAUCUGUGGCACACAAAUUGGAAUAAUCCUGUUGACUGAGAGCUGUGGCACGCUGACGUGGAAGACUCCUCUGCUCUUCGAGCUGUGGCACACCAACCCUGAGGCCUCCUCUGUGGUUGGAGCUGUGGCACACCUACUGUGACUACUCCUCCUUUCUGGGAGCUAUGGCAUGGUCAUCUGGAUGUCUUCUGUGGGCUGCGAGCUGUGGCACGCUGAGCCUGAAGGCCUACUCUGUGGUUGGCUUUGUUGCACGCAUAUUGGAGUACUGCAGGCUGAGAGCUGUGGCACGCAGAUCUGGAUGUCUCCACUGGGAGGUGAGCCAUAGCAUGCUGACCUCGAGUUCUCCUCUGUGCUUGGAUGUGUUGCACGCAGGUUGGAAUACUGAUGGCUGGGAGCUGUGGCAUGCUGAUCUGGAUGUCUCCUCUGGUCUGUGAGCUUUGGCACACUGAUCCCGAGGUCUACUCUCUGGUUGCAUCUGUGGCACACAUUGGAAUAAUCCCGCUGGCUGAGAGCUGUGGCACUCUGACCUGGAAGGCUCGUCGGGGCUUCGAUCUGUUGCACGCUGACCCCGAGUUCUCCUCUGUGGUUGGAUCUGUUGCACGCAGGUUGGAAUACUGAUGGCUGGGAGCUGUGGCAUGCUGAUCUGGAUGUAUCCUCUGGUCUGCGAGCCUUGGCACACUGAUCCCGAGGUCUACUCUCUGGUUGCAUGUGUG
ensembl:lncRNA